rnacentral:misc_RNA from 1 species
UCUCCGUAGGUGAGCCUGCUGAGGGAUCAUUACUGAGUGAGGGCUUCGGUCCGACCUCCAACCCUUUAUGAACCAAACUUGUUGCUUCGGGGGCGACCCUGCCGCUUCGGCGGUGCGGCGCCCCCGGAGGCCAUUAAACACUGCGUCAUUGCGUCGGAGUUAAAGUAAAUUAAACAAAACUUUCAACAACGGAUCUCUUGGUUCCAGCAUCGAUGAAGAACGCAGC